ACACGAUUAACACACACAGCACAUUCAACAGACAAAAUCUCUGCAGAUCUCUCAACUCAAAUGAGCUUUUAUCCUUAAGAGUAGGAGUAAUUUAGAUAUCUCAAGUUUUUAGCGGCAGGGUGAUCCCCUCAACGAUUCAAGUUCACAAAUCUCUGGCGGAAGGAUUACAUCCUCAACGACACGAUCACGACUCCAUCGGCUUGUUGACAGAAGGUCUAAUUCUCAUCCCACAGCCAUUCGAGAGCGUCUCAACGUGGUUGCAAUCCUUCUACUUCGUCUGCGGGCAACCUCAUACCUGAAUUCAAAGCCUAAACUACAUGUAUCGAUGGAAAGCAAACGCGGACACUCAAUGCGAUGAUAAGAAGAAGAAGAAGAAGAAGAAGAAGAAGAAGAAGAAGAAGAAGAAGAAGAAGAAGAAGAAGAAGAAGAAGAGGCUCUCCUCACUGUAUAAUUUCACACCGGCCUGAUCUUCCAGCCCAAGUUGCCUUCUUAUCUUACCCAUCUGAAUGACAUGUACAUAUCAAAUACCAUAUACAUAAACACCACCGUUGCUUCAUGUAGUUAAUAGUUGUUUUAUCGUCAUUUAUCUUAUAGUGCAGCAAAUUGGAAUAUGACAAUUUCUCGU